GCCGUGCUUUGAUUUUCAAUUGGUAACCUCUUGGCCAAGCCGAAUUGCAUUAUUUUGAUUAAUCAAUAACCUUUCUUUUUCUUUUCUUUUCUUUUUUGCUGAUGAAGCGAUAUUCCUGGAAGUGUUUUUAUCGCCACCAUAGAUGACGGCGAACGUGCCCGAAAAUGUUAGUAAUACUGAAAAGGUACUCCUAAACGCUUGAUAAACGAUGAAAGCCAUAUUGUGUUUUUUGGGUUGUUUGCUGCUGGUGAACGCUAGACCCCCAUGAGAUUGGGAUAUACUCGAAGGAGAUGAUCGCGUCUCGAGCGACCUUCAGAACUGUCACGGUCUCGAGUGUCCAGCGGAAACAUUUGGUUGCAGGAAAAUAAGUGACAGUUCGGCUGACUUGAAGACGGUGACGGCAAUAAUUCAAUGCGAGGAUAUUCAUGGUAAAGUCCUAAACUCGGUCACCAAAACCUACCCAAAUCCUCACGAGGACACUUACGUCUCCUUGGUGUCGUUUAUUGACAAGUCCGAUGGACCAUUGUUCAAACACGACUCAGGAUUUAACCACUCCACUCCACUUCCAAUCCGAUUAUCGUCAUAAGAAAAGAUCGCGAUGAUCACGGUAACUAUUGGGAU